rnacentral:lncRNA from 1 species
AGUGCAGUGGCAUGAUCUCGGCUCACUGUAACCUCCGCCUCCUGGGUUCAAGCAAUUCUCCUGCCUCAGCCUCCCGAGUAGCUGGGACUACAGGUGCACACCACUACACCCGGCUAAUUUUUAUAUUUUUAGUGGAGAUGGGGUUUCGCCGUGUUGGCCAGGCUGGUCUCGAACUCCUGACCUCAAGUGAUCCACCUGCCUUGGCCUCCCACAGUCCUGGGAUUACAGGUGUGACCCACCACACCCAGCCCUCCCUGCUUUUCUUUUCUUUUUGUUUUAAAUUUAUUAUCUUUCUGUCCUGCCUGUUGGUUGGGUGACUGGAGCCUGGAGUUCCCUAAAGGAAAAUUUUAGAAGGGAAACAUUCUAAUCUGUAGAAAAUCUUCAAAUUCCUAAGCAAACAAGAGCAAAAGAUCUCAAAGUAAACAGGCCAGCAGACGGAGAGUCUUCUUUAAUGCACUUUGAUUUCCUCCAAGAAGUUACAGAUUGUGUGGGGACAGGUAGGACUAAGAGUGCCUAGAGAAAGGGGAAGUGAUAUGAGGGGGAAAUAAUAUAUCACAUCAGCAACUUCCUUGAAUUCAGUUCCUUGAUUCCUUCUGCCUGCCUUAUCCAUCAGGAUACAUUUCCUGUAGCGGCCACGUGUACCAAGUCCUUCCAGAAAGUAAGGAUUUUUCUUUAAAGAGGGAACAAACUAGUCUGAGCAAUCUGAAGACCUUCCCCUGGGGCCUGGAAAUUCAGAAGGCUGGGAGCUUGGGUGGAUUUGCAUGGAAAGUUCAGUUGCUACUGGAAGUGAUUAAGUGGUGACAGAAUUGAGUCUGUCAGAUGGGUCUUCCUUCCCCAAGACUUCCCACCCCCGUACCCACCCACUCCCCCACCCCCAGCUUUCUGCCAGAUUUUCAUUAACUUGCCUUAAGUGUAGCUGAAAUUUCAUUUGGCAAGAAAAGUCUGAGUUGUGGAACUCCAGUCUGAAACAUGCCCAAGAAACAUUCCCCAACCUCUGGUGCCUGGACAAGAAUAUCCUAGGCUGUUUCCCCAUUGAAAGAGAGCAUUACAGAAACUGAAACUGGACCUCACCUGUGUUUCCCUCCUAGAGAAGUACGACUCUCCAACCCAUUCCUUCAUUUGCAUCAAAAAGAACUAUUCUCCAGGCCUCCUGCCAAGGGCAGGAAUAAGAGGAAUAAGUCAUGGCCUCUGCCCCUAAGAGCUCCUUGCUUAGGUGGAGAGGGAGACAGACAACUGCAUGGAAAGGCGUGAUGAGAUGAAAGCCCAUAGCACGGGAGCUGAGCCCAGGCACCAGCGCGGAGUGCAGGUGGGAGAGACGGGACCCGAGCUCAUAUUCCAGUUAGCUAUUUACCUGCCAGUACUAUAUUAUCUUAUCCCAUGCCCCAAGUGACUGUGGCAGGCACCCUUUUCACAGGGGGCAGGAAGUAUGACCCAGCAUCAGCCAAUCUGAGUCAUUGACAAGUAGGACUGGACUCUGAACACUGACAUGAAAAUAGGGCCAAGGCCCACAAACCGGCCAGCAAUCCAGGUAAGUGUGACCAGGUGCGGGGGCUCAUGCCUAUAAUCCCAGCACUUUGAGAAGCUGAGGCAGGAGGAUCAUUUGAGCCCAGGAGGUCAAGACCAGCCUGGGAAAUAUAGGGAGAGCCCAUCUCUACAAAAAAAAAUACAUUAAGGCCAGGCACGGUGGCUCACACCUGUAAUCCCAGCACUUUGGGAGGCUGAGACAGGCGGAUCACCAGAGGUCAGGAGUUUGAGAUCAGCCUGGCCAACAUGGUGAAACCCCAUCUCUACUAAAAAUACAAAAAGUAGCCAGGCCUGGUGGUACGUGCCUGUAAUCCCAGCUACUUGGGAGACUGAGGCAGGAGAAUCACUUGAAUCCAGAAGGCAGAGGUUGCAGUGAGUGGAGAUCGUGCCAUUGCACUCCAGCCUGGGCAACAAGAGUGAAACUCUGUCUCAAAAAACAAAAAAGAAAGAAAGAAAGAAAGUCAGCCUGGGUCACACAGCCAGUAAAUGGCAGAGCCAGGCUCUAGGUAUAUAUUCCUAACCUGGGGAUAAAGCAGCUUCCAGGCCAGGCACACUGGCUCACUCCUGUUAUCCGAGCACUUUGGAAGUCUGAGGUGUGCAGACUGCUUGAGCCCAGGAGUUCGAGACCAGCCUGGACAACACAGUGAAACCCCAUCUCUGCAAAAAUACAAAAAAUUAGCUGGGAGUGGUGGUGCGCACCUGCAGUCCCAGCUUUCAUGCACGUCCGUGUGAAGAGACCACCAAACAGGCUUUGUGUGAGCAAAAUGGCUGUUUAUUUCACCUGGGUGCAGGCGGGCUGAGUCCGAAAAGAGAGUCAGCGAAGGGAGAUAGGGGUGGGGCCGUUUUAUAGGAUUUGGGAAGGUAAUGGAAAAUUACAGUCAAAGGGGGUUGUUCUCUGGUGGGCAGGGGUGGAUCUCACAAAGUACAUUCUCAAGGGUGGGGAGAAUUACAAAGAACCUUCUUAAGGGUGGGGGAGACUACAAAGUACCUUCUUAAGGGUGGGGGAGAUUACAAAGUACAUUGAUCAGUUAGGGUGGGGCAGGAACAAAUCACAAUGGUGGAAUGUCAUCAGUUGAGGCUGUUUUUACUUCUUUUGUGGAUCUUCAGUUACUUCAGGCCAUCUGGAUGUAUACGUGCAAGUCACAGGGGAUGCGACGGCCUGGCCUGGGCUCAGAGGCCUGACACCAGCUACUCAGGAGGCUGAGGCGGCCUUCCCACCUCCGUCAUUGAGAGGCAAUUUCCCAAGGCAGGACCUUGCCACGUGGCCCACUGUAUGUUUCCUAGCUACUGGACAGCUGGCUCUAUAGACUCUUCCGUGUACAUAAAUUCAGUCAUUCUUUUCUCAAAACACAGAGUAAACCUCUGGUUUGAAAGAGAGACUCAAGCCUUGGACACACAAAUAUCCUGCAAUCUACAAGUCAAACGGGAGUGGAAGCUUUCAUUUCUUAGAGGCUAGAACCGGGAAUAACAGUACCCCCAGCAGACUGACCAUGAAGGGUUCUGUCUGUGUGUGCACAACUUCCCAGGCCUGAAAUGUGUGCAGCAAGGAUGUCCUCAAGGGGCUCUUGUGCACGUUGCCCUCUACCCAUGGUCCCCACAGCGGGACCAGCUCCACACACAGGGAAGAAUGGAAAGGACACCCAGAGCCAACCUGGCCCUGGGACCUCCCCUCCUGGCUUUCACGGCUCCUCAGAUUGGGUCAGUCACACCGAAAGGACUUUCUGGAAGGAGCGCACCAGAAUUUCUGUUCUGGGAAGAUGGUGGAAGGCAGAGCUGAGUUCAUUGCUUAUGGAGGGGAGAGAAUAGCCCCUGCACAGAGCCUCCAUCGCGGCUGCCAGGGGAAGUGGAGAGGCUAGGAUCUCACUGAGAAUUUCAAGAUUGGUUUAAGGAGGGCCUUUCAAUGCAGGGGCUUGCUUGGGAUUGGGGGAGAUAAUGAUACAGUAGUUUCAGGUUGGUGGCAACAGCUAGGCGAGGGGUUUGAAAUGUCUUAGGUGUGAAAUGUCUGUUGAUGCUUCUAUUAAAUAAAGCUCGCCUAUUGAAGAGUUGAUGGGCCUCUUGGGAAAUUCCUGUAAUAAACAAUGAAGUUAUUUGCCUGGGCAAGAGACUCUUGGAAUAGUAAAGUUAUUGUACCAAAGACAGUGGGAGAAAAAAAGUCAUGUUAAUGCAGACAAUAAACUUGGAGGUGGAAGGGGAUAGUUUCUGCCUCAAUCUGACUAGUCAUUAGGCCUAAAGACCUGAGGGCUAGGACACAUGUCAAGUAUCUUUCAACACAUUUAAAAAGUUAAAAAUUCAGGAAAUGGACCCACGACAAUGUUGGAGGUCUGCUAAGCAGGACAGGGAGCAUGGAGGAGGGGUGCAUUAAAAAACAAGCCUCGGGCCAGUCUGGGUGGCUCACGCCUGUAAUCCCAGUGCUUUGGGAGGGCG